CCUACGUGAGGCAGCAGUGAGGAAUAUUGGUCAAUGGACGCAAGUCUGAACCAGCCAUGCCGCGUGCAGGAAGACGGCUCUAUGAGUUGUAAACUGCUUUUGUACGAGGGUAAAUCCCGAUACGUGUAUCGGGUUGCAAGUAUCGUACGAAUAAGGAACGGCUAACUCCGUGCAAGCAGCCGCGGUAAUACGGAGGAUUCAAGCGUUAUCCGGAUUUAUUGGGUUUAAAGGGUGCGUAGGCGGUUCGAUAAGUUAGAGGUGAAAUCCCGGGGCUCAACUCCGGCACUGCCUCUGAUACUGUCGGGCUAGAGUUUAGUUGCGGUAGGCGGAAUGUAUGGUGUAGCGGUGAAAUGCAUAGAGAUCAUACAGAACACCGAUUGCGAAGGCAGCUUACCAAACUACGACUGACGUUGAGGCACGAAAGCGUGGGGAGCAAACAGGAUUAGAUACCCUGGUAGUC
rnacentral:rRNA from 1 species